UUGGAGGGUAAUUUAGUCAUUCAGUAUUUCAUUCCACACCACUAUCAAAUUAAGCAUGGGUAUUUUUGUAAAAACGCAAAUUAUUUCUCUUAGAUUUGAUCAGAACCGUAGAUUCCAUCUCAAAUGUUGUUGUCUUUUUGCCUUCAGAAACGUGAUCCGUGCAACCGUUUCACUGUUGGUUUCCUUAAACGUUUUAUUUGUCAUUCGUAUGCGAUUCUCUUGAACUCACCCCGACCUCAAGGCUGCCUCCACCACCAUGGAAGAGAUUCAACUUCCAGCUUGAAGGUGUUCUUCCCUCGACUUGCAAGGAUUUCGGCGGCCAUGUUCCAGGCGGCAGCCACAAGAGCGCCGACCUCAGCCCCGAGCAAGACAGAAUGCGACGCCGCCUCUGCUGUUACCCACGCUCCAUCUUCUCCAACCUAUUCCAAUUUUGUGGCUCCCAAGCAUCACAAACGACAGAGUGAAAUGGAAUCAGAGACUUGAGGAUCAUAAUUUUGAUGCGGUGGUGUGAUUCCAUCAAACUUCCAGACACGAUGAGGGCUUCAAAUUUGUUAAUUCUUUGGAUGUUCAUUGAGACUUGCAAAAGGCUGAAAAUGCUUUCAUGCCACUGGCUUAUGUAUGUAUUCUCGGUGAUGUACAGCUUCAGGAUACUUUUGAAUUAUGGGAUAGGAAAAUCAUGGCAACUGCAACCAUGGCCACUGCAGCCGGUACAACUGCUCUUUUGUACUACACAUUGAAUAGGAAAUUUGGCUGAUUUCAGAGGUGAGAUAUUCCUCUUCGUGUACUACUUCUUUUUGUACAGUCUGAGAGAGUUUGUAGCUUUUGAGUGACUUAACUCCUUCUCUGCGACCUUGCUCUGCCAACACAAUUAAACCAAAUAGGGCUUCUCUUUCAUUACAAUGAACUGCGGUUGAGAGAGAGAGAGAGAGAGAGAGAGAGAGAGUGAUGGUAUGAGCCUACAGCAGAGGGUGAGAUUUCUAAUGGGAUUUCUGCUCAUGGAUUUUCCUGUGGACAGAGAGAAAGGACUUGAAGAAUUGCUUAUGGUUUCACGAUUUGGUCAACUGAUGUGUGUUUAGGCAGUGCAUGAUGUAAACUGGACCAUUUUCCUUUUGUAAACACGAUGUUGAUUGUUUUUGUGGACUAUUGGAUUGGUAUGGCUCAAGGAAUUGUUCAAAAAUGUGGAAGUUCUAAACAUAAGGAACCCAUUUCCCACCAAGAAAGUCAUAUGUAGAACUGAGAUACCUUAAGAUGUAGAAAACCAAUGCUUUCAAGAGUGCACCUUUUUUCUUGGUGAGUUUGUUGCUCAGUCCCUCGCAUGUUGUGGCUGCUUUGAGCUGUGAAGAUUGCAUAUUAGAAAGAGUGUGGCUUCUCAGCUUGCUCAUCAAAAAGUGGUUGUGGUUGGGUAGCUUUACUUCUCUAGCUUAAAGUGGACUUCCUUUCCCUUUUGUCUUUGAUGUAGAACCACUUAGAAUUAGAACUUGAUGUAGAACCACUUUGACAAGUAUUUGAAUGGUUUGAGAUAUGUUUUUCUUCUUUACAA